rnacentral:rRNA from 1 species
CGAAUGCUGACAUAAGUAACGAUAAAGCGGGUGAAAAGCCCGCUCGCCGGAAGACCAAGGGUUCCUGUCCAACGUUAAUCGGGGCAGGGUGAGUCGACCCCUAAGGCGAGGCCGAAAGGCGUAGUCGAUGGGAAACAGGUUAAUAUUCCUGUACUUGGUGUUACUGCGAAGGGGGGACGGAGAAGGCUAUGUUGGCCGGGCGACGGUUGUCCCGGUUUAAGCGUGUAGGCUGGUUUUCCAGGCAAAUCCGGAAAAUCAAGGCUGAGGCGUGAUGACGAGGCACUACGGUGCUGAAGCAACAAAUGCCCUGCUUCCAGGAAAAGCCUCUAAGCAUCAGGUAACAUCAAAUCGUACCCCAAACCGACACAGGUGGUCAGGUAGAGAAUACCAAGGCGCUUGAGAGAACUCGGGUGAAGGAACUAGGCAAAAUGGUGCCGUAACUUCGGGAGAAGGCACGCUGAUA